rnacentral:lncRNA from 1 species
UGCAUUUCAGCUGCCUCCUUACUGUUCUCCAUCCAGUUUCACAGGUACCCUGUGAGAGUCUGGUUCAGUCAAAGUACUACAUAGGGCUGUUUUAACAUGUUUUAACUCUGAAGUCCCCAGGCUUGGUUUAUUAAUUCUCCAGAGACCUAUAUUAGUGCCAGUCAAGGGAACCUAGCCCAUAAGAGAAAGGAGGGAAAAUCAAAACAUUUCCAUCUGAAACCAAGCAGAGCAGCUGGCCACACCAGUCCUGGACUAUCCAAGAAGCCCCAAGCCUUGGCAUUGAUCCAGGACUGUCAAUGCAGUCCAUUGAUCCAGGACUGUCAACACUCAGCGAGCAUCUCGGCCACCCCUGGCACUGCUCCCCAU